ACUGAGGAAACUCAUCCUAAUGCUGUUUUAUUCCUAACAGGCUGUGGAACCUAGCUGGACCUCAGCUUUUUUUCCUUCUUUCCUUAAAGCCUUGCAGUUGUGAGUGACGAUGUCUGUGGCUCCGGGAACUACACUGUGCAGAUGAGCCUGCGCCCAGCCGCAGAAGCAGGCCCUGAGACCGAAGGGUUGGCGCCUUCCCAAGAGACUUUCCUGGCUCUAAUCGCUGUGCAGAGCAAUAGCAGCCAGCCCGUGCUCCAGAUCCGGUCGUGCUGUGUGACACCUUUUGCCAGCCCAGGGGGACCCGGCGCCAUGUGCUGCCUGUUCCACAGGUUGCCGUUUGAAUGCAGACACAUCCAGGUACUGCAGAGCAGUAAGUCCAGACGUGCUAGCUUCACCAUCCAGCUGUUCCAGAUGCUGAAUCACUCGGUGGCCUAUUUGCACUGUGAGAUCAGUGUCUGCCUGCAUGGCAGAACAGGAUGUGAACAGGACUGCUUUGAAAGUGUGGAGCCAUUUCUCCAGUCAAGUGACAGGAACAGCUAUGGAAACCUGCACAACCUGAUCUCAUUUGGUCCGGUUUUAAGAAGGAAGAACAGGAUUCUAUACAAACCUGUGGAAGGUCCUGAUAGUGCCAUGCUGGUACCCGUUCUGCUGGGAUCCCUCACUGGCUUUGGCGUCUUGGGCAGUGCUUUCAUAAGCCUUUGGCUGCAUCACAGACAGAAAACCAAAACCAUACGCUGUCCACAACUUGGAGAAAUCCAUGGCCUGUGAACUAGGAGCAGCUGCUUGGUCCUGCAGAUCCAACACCACCGCUACCAUGAUCAGAAAAGCAACUUAUUUUGCUUUGCACACUGUAUUGCUUUUGUAGAGUUUCUGCUGACCCAGGGAGCAAGAUCCCCAGUUGUCGCUGUAGAGACGGACGAAGCGACACACACACACACACUCACAGGGGUGAACGAGCAGCUAGGGUUUUUAUUACUAAAAGCAUGUAUUUUUAUAUAUUUCAGGUGCCAGAGUGCUACAAUAUAAUUGGUCAAAAAGUUU
rnacentral:lncRNA from 1 species